GCGGACAUGGCGGAAUUGGCAGACGCGCACGGCUAAGGACCGUGUGGGAGACCUUGCAGGUUCGAGUCCUGUUGUCCGCACCA
rnacentral:tRNA from 1 species